UACGUAGGGUGCGAGCGUUAAUCGGAAUUACUGGGCGUAAAGCGUGCGCAGGCGGUUCGUUGUGUCGGCGGUGAAAGCCCCGGGCUCAACCUGGGAAUGGCCGUUGAAACUGGCGAACUGGAGUGUGGCAGAGGGGGUGGAAUUCCGCGUGUAGCAGUGAAAUGCGUAGAGAUGCGGAGGAACACCGAUGGCGAAGGCAGCCCCCUGGCUGACACUGACGCUCGAGGCACGAA
rnacentral:rRNA from 1 species